UGAAAUUGAACUCGCUGUGAAGAUGCAGUGUACCCGCGGCAAGACGGAAAGACCCCGUGAACCUUUACUAUAGCUUGACACUGAACAUUGAGCCUUGAUGUGUAGGAUAGGUGGGAGGCUUUGAAGUGUGGACGCCAGUCUGCAUGGAGCCGGCCUUGAAAUACCACCCUUUAAUGUUUGAUGUUCUAACGUGGACCCGUGAUCCGGGUUGCGGACAGUGUCUGGUGGGUAGUUUGACUGGGGCGGUCUCCUCCUAAAGAGUAACGGAGGAGCACGAAGGUUGGCUAAUCCUGGUCGGACAUCAGGAGGUUAGUGCAAUGGCAUAAGCCAGCUUGACUGCGAGCGUGACGGCGCGAGCAGGUGCGAAAGCAGGUCAUAGUGAUCCGGUGGUUCUGAAUGGAAGGGCCAUCGCUCAACGGAUAAAAGGUACUCCGGGGAUAACAGGCUGAUACCGCCCAAGAGUUCAUAUCGACGGCGGUGUUUGGCACCUCGAUGUCGGCUCAUCACAUCCUGGGGCUGAAGUAGGUCCCAAGGGUAUGGCUGUUCGCCAUUUAAAGUGGUACGCGAGCUGGGUUUAGAACGUCGUGAGACAGUUCGGUCCCUAUCUGCCGUGGGCGCUGGAGAACUGAGGGGGGCUGCUCCUAGUACGAGAGGACCGGAGUGGACGCAUCACUGGUGUUCGGGUUGUCAUGCCAAUGGCACUGCCCGGUAGCUAAAUGCGGAAGAGAUAAGUGCUGAAAGCAUCUAAGCACGAAACUUGCCCCGA
rnacentral:rRNA from 1 species